rnacentral:rRNA from 1 species
GUAAUGCCUAGGAAUCUGCCUGAUAGUGGGGGACAACGUUUCGAAAGGGACGCUAAUACCGCAUACGUCCUACGGGAGAAAGCAGGGGACCUUCGGGCCUUGCGCUAUCAGAUGAGCCUAGGUCGGAUUAGCUAGUUGGUGGGGUAAUGGCUCACCAAGGCGACGAUCCGUAACUGGUCUGAGAGGAUGAUCAGUCACACUGGAACUGAGACACGGUCCAGACUCCUACGGGAGGCAGCAGUGGGGAAUAUUGGACAAUGGGCGAAAGCCUGAUCCAGCCAUGCCGCGUGUGUGAAGAAGGUCUUCGGAUUGUAAAGCACUUUAAGUUGGGAGGAAGGGCAGUAAGCGAAUACCUUGCUGUUUUGACGUUACCGACAGAAUAAGCACCGGCUAACUCUGUGCCAGCAGCCGCGGUAAUACAGAGGGUGCAAGCGUUAAUCGGAAUUACUGGGCGUAAAGCGCGCGUAGGUGGUUUGUUAAGUUGAAUGUGAAAGCCCCGGGCUCAACCUGGGAACUGCAUCCAAAACUGGCAAGCUAGAGUACGGUAGAG